UAUUUCAGCUCCUGUGGCAUUUGCCCAUCUGUGUCUUGGAGUUCAGGGUUUUUUUUUUUUUUUUUCUCUUUCUUUUCUGUUUUCUUCAGGGAAUCAGUCUUUCUCUUGGGAUCGGUGAGUGAUGAGCCUUGUGUGACUGAGUCAUUGCUGCCCUGAAGCCCAAAGCUGUUGAGUCCUGCAGAACCUCAGAUGCCCUUAGAACAGGGUGUGGGCUGAUUUAGCUGGCAUCUUCAACAUCCAUCAGUCCUUCAGGGAGGAAAGCCUUUGGACACAUGGCUUCUCGCCAUUAUUGGUGUGCAGACAACUUGAAAAUUGGCAGAGGAAUCCAUGCUGGCGAAAGAGCAGUUGAAAGACCCUCAGAAGAGGUCGGGAUGCCCUUGGAGGAGGUAGAAAACUUCAUGUGUUCCACGCUUCUCACAGCCCCGCUGGGCUCCUGUGGCUUCUCAGUGUCUCAUUUCCAGGCUAUGCCGGUGCUCCACUCGCCAGCAGAGGGCAGCAUUGAGACAUCAACGAAGGCGGACUUGGGCGCGCGACCGCCGGGAAGCAGAGCCUCAGGAUGGCUGCUUGUCGGAAGCUUUAACCUUUUAAGCAAUUCUCCGGGGAGCCCUUCCUGUCAUGUGUGGGCUGCCCUAAAAUGAGCAGGUGAUAGAAAUGAAAUAUUAAACAAUUCUGUUCUGCAAAAUGAAAA